rnacentral:rRNA from 1 species
CACCAAGAAAUUAAGUUAUAUAUUAUACGGUAAAAAGACAGUUAGACUAAAAUUAUUUAUAUAAGGUUAUAUAACUUUUUUUAAAAAAGUAAAAUUUGAAUAAAAAUCUCUAACCCAAAAAUAACUUAUGAGUUGAAUCUGUGAAAGCCUUGAGGGAAACUGGGAUUAGAUACCCCAUUAUUCUUGGUCUUAAAUUAACAGAGUUUACCAGAGUACUAUGAAUCUAAUAAAAUUUAAAACUCAAAGAGCUUGGCGGUGUUUUAGACCAUUCAGGGGAACCUGUCUCAUAAUCGAUAAUCCACGUUAAACCUAACCUCUUUUUGUAUUCAGCUUGUAUACCGUUGUCGUCAGGUAACUUUUUAGAAAUUAGAAGUUAGCUAAUAGCCUAUAAACUGAAACGUCAAAUCAAGGUGCAGCUAAUAAAGAGGAGAGGAUGGGUUACACUUAUAUAAUUAUAAUAACGGAAAGUUUUUAAAAAAAAAACUUGAAGGAGGACUUGAAAGUAAAACAAAUUAUAUAAAUAUUUUGAAUACGGCUCUGAAGCGUGC